CACUUUAAAGUGCUUCGGUCAAAGUUAUUCCAGGAGCGCCACCUCUGGGUCAGGCAGGAAACUUUUCAUCCCACCCUCGUAUUGAAAAUCGCCUAUCAAAUUUCAUUUGCUAUUUCAUCGUAUCUUAUCAUUUCCUUUGUCGGUUCAUUCUAUCUUAUCAUUUUUUUAGCUGUCUUAUUCACAUUCAAACAGAUAUGAUUCCAAACAGCAGUUUCUUUACAGAUUUAGCGAAAUCUUAGAUAUUAAAACUGAUCAAAAUAUGAAGGAGGCGUUUUUUGAAGUUUAUAAUACUUUUCCUUUGUAUAUUUCAUAUGCGAAAAAAAAUUAAUUCUGUAUCACAUCUGUAAGUUUUAAAAUAUAUCAGAUAUUUGAUAAAAAAAAACAUAGCAUCAGUGCCGUGAAGUAAUAUAGAAAGUUAUGAUUGCUUCGUGUAUUUUCCUUGGUAUAAAGAACAAGAUCUUCUAGAGGCCUUUAAACAGACAAUGUAAAAACACAGAAUAUAAAUAAGAUUUAAGAAACAUCUAUCGGGAUUUCAACUCAAUCUUGAAAGUGUACCUAUUAUAUUUAUAAGUUGUAAUUAAACAAAAACCAACAACUGACAGUAUGUCUCAAAAAGAUUCAGCCAAUCUUACAAAUAGUCACGUUUCGUAUCAAGGGGAUUCUGAUAAUCUUCCUCCAUCUCUUCAUUUGGAGAAUAAAGCAUCUGGCGGCGAUGAGAAGGACAUAUCUGACGAAAGCCAAAAAACUGAAUCUUGUCCGAAUCGCUUUGGAAAAUGUUUGAGCAGAUUCAAGCUAGAAAUCUUGUCAGUUAUAUUCAUGUUCUCCUGGGUUUUGAAAGAAGUUUCAUCGACUUCUAUGAUUCUGGACAAAGUGUGUUUGGUUCAUUGCAAUUAUUCUCAUGAAAUUUGUGACAAUUUAGAUAAUUACACCGACAUAAAAUCUUCGGUGGCGAAAAUGGCUACAAAUUAUGAACUUGGACACAAUCUUAUACAAACGGCACCAGCAGUUUUGAUUUCGUGUUUCGUUGGACCUUGGAGCGAUCAGUAUGGCAGAAAAAUUCCAUUGUUAAUUGCCAUUGUAGGAAUGGCAUUGAAUACUUUCGGCUCAGCUAUAUGCGCGUAUUUCUUAUACUCCAGAAUUGAGUACUAUUAUAUUCCAGCAAUAUUUACAGGUUGUUUUGGUGGAGUCGUGACUGUCUUGACUGUUAUUUACAGUUAUGCCUCAGAUACGACCGUUGAAGUAGGAAGAACUAUGAAGUACGCUUUUUUGGAAAUGGCUCUUGGAUUAUCUCAACCUUUAGGAGUCGGUGCUGGUGGCUGGAUUUACAAGUUUUGGGGCUAUCCUGCAGUAUUUCUGACAUCCGCAGCUGGAUUAACCGUCAGUUUUGUUUUGGUAGCUCUCUUUUUGCCGGAGACACGAGGUCAGGCAAACCACGACGCUUUGAAAACCAAGCUUAAAAAUCUGUUUACUUUAAAGACAUUGAAGGAAGGUUUCGCAGCCGCUGUAAAACAGCGACCCAAUCAAGGUCGGAAACAAAUAUUGUUACUGAUAAUAUGCAUGUGUUUCAUAGUAAUCGCAACUAAUUCUACGGGCAACGUAAAUUACAUUUUUGCUCAUCUUGUAUACAAUUGGGAUAAUACAACAUUUUCAACAAGCAGAGCCGUCUAUUCAGUCAUUGGUGUCGUUGUAUUAGUCAUCGUGGUUCCAAUAUUAAAAUAUUUCAAAUCCGGAGAUCCCGUCCUUGGAUUGAUUGGAACGAUAUCCAUUCUUUUGAAAUACGUUGGAAUCGGACUGGCAUUGAAACCAGCAGUAUAUCACAUUGCCAACAUUCUAGGCAGCUUGAGCGGUUGUGCAUCUCUUGCAGGACGUUCUCGAAUUUCUAAAGUGGUUUCAGAUGAAGAUAUAGGCAAAGUUUUCUCAUUUGUGGCAACGUCUGAAGCGUUGCUUCCUAUUUUAACGACAGUCCUUAUCUCUCAAAUUUUCACAGCUUCUCUUGAAAUAUAUCCUGCUAUGCCGUACAUCGUAUUGGCACUCUGCCUGAUUUUACCUCUCGGUGUCUUUGGAAGAUGUAGCGAGAAUUCUUUGAACUGUAAUGUGUUGCCAAAUAAGAUAACCGAAAUCUACCUUUGGUGAAUUGGCGAACAUUGACUUGCAACCCUCACAACGAAAAAUGAACUUUCCAAGAUUUCUUCAGUCGAUGUGUGAUUCCCUUGAGUGCAUGUGGUGGAUGACUCGUCUUCCGAAUGCAAGCUCUGCAUACAAUGAAAGCGACGACGACACAGCGCCUGCGAACACCGAUGCUUGAAAAUGUAA